GGUGGCAGGGAAGGGGCUGGGCAGCUUCCUUUGGAAAUACAAAGGCCUUUCAUUGGAAUGGGAAAGAAAAAAGCCGAAAGCCGAAUAGGUGGCUUUGAAGGCCUGCAAAUGCAGCCAGCUGAAACUUUCAGCAGCCAUUUGGAAAAUGACAGACUCCACUCAGUCCAUCCCCAUCCAUUCUCCCUGCCAGCUGCUUUCCCAUCAAGCCAGCGGAGACAACUCUCUAUCUGAGGCAAAGCCCAUCAAUGAUUAUCCGCCAACUGCCAGACUGCUAGUGGCACACCCAUCGGCACGUGAGCAGCAGGUGUCUGGGGUGUAACAAACUGAGACUGAGAUCGCCUGAGGGACAGAAACAAUACUACAGGCCAGUACUGAAGAACCAGGAGCCAGACCAAAGAGGCAGCAACUUCUCAACCCCGAUAAACUGAGAAGGGCAGCAAUGAGGAGGCGAAAGAGUUGGAAAAAAGACAGACAUCAAUCACUGGGAAACAUUGAUCAUGAUCUCGCCAGAGCUUUGCAUGGACAGGAAGAGCCCAGGUAUUCCCUCAGAGGGCCAACCUCGUCAUUCUCCUCAAGAGCACUUGGCCUGCAUAGAUGGAAGAGCCUGGAAAUUUCCCAAGGUCAUGAUUACUGGAACUUGAAAUUCCCAGCAAAUCAGUGUAUGUAUGCAUGAUAGCAUACGACAGGACUUGCUACUGGCUGGGUUUCCUGGAAAGCAGACUCUGAGAUGGUCCUGCAUUUGCAAGACACUUAUUAUGGUUUGGGAACCAACACCAUAGAAGGGAAGGAGAAGCAGCUGAUUAGGCAGGCAGAG
rnacentral:lncRNA from 1 species